GACAGAGGGUGCAAACGUUGCUCGGAAUUACUGGGCGUAAAGGGCUCGUAGGCGGCCAACUAAGUCAUACGUGAAAUCCCUCGGCUUAACCGGGGAACUGCGUCUGAUACUGGAUGGCUUGAGUUCGGGAGAGGGAUGCGGAAUUCCAGGUGUAGCGGUGAAAUGCGUAGAUAUCUGGAGGAACACCGGUGGCGAAGGCGGCAUCCUGGACCGAUACUGACGCUGAGGAGCGAAAGCCAGGGGAGCAAACGGG
rnacentral:rRNA from 1 species